UGGGGAAUAUUGCACAAUGAGGGAAACCCUGAUGCAGCGACGCCGCGUGAACGAAGAAGGUAUUCGUAUCGUAAAGUUCUGUCCUAUGGGAAGAUAAUGACAGUACCAUAGAAGAAAGCUCCGGCUAAAUACGUGCCAGCAGCCGCGGUAAUACGUAUAGAGCGAGCGUUGUCCGGAAUUAUUGGGCGUAAAGGGUACGCAGGCGGUUUAAUAAGUCGAAUGUUAAAGAUCGGGGCUCAACCCCGCAAAGCAUUGGAAACUGAUAAACUUGAGUAGUGGAGAGGAAAGUGGAAUUCCUAGUGUAGUGGUGAAAUACGUAGAUAUUAGGAGGAAUACCAGUAGCGAAGGCGACUUUCUGGACACAAACUGACGCUGAGGUACGAAAGCGUGGGGAGCAAACAGG
rnacentral:rRNA from 1 species